rnacentral:rRNA from 1 species
GACGAACGCUGGCGGCGUGCCUAAUACAUGCAAGUCGAGCGAAUCUUUUGGGAGCUUGCUCCCUUAAGAUUAGCGGCGGACGGGUGAGUAACACGUGGGUAACCUGCCUGUAAGACUGGGAUAACUUCGGGAAACCGGAGCUAAUACCGGAUAGGUUCUUUUCUCGCAUGAGGGAAGAUGGAAAGAUGGUUCUGCUAUCACUUACAGAUGGACCCGCGGCGCAUUAGCUAGUUGGUGAGGUAACGGCUCACCAAGGCGACGAUGCGUAGCCGACCUGAGGGGGUGACCGGCCACACUGGGACUGAGACACGGCCCAGACUCCUACGGGAGGCAGCAGUAGGGAAGCUUCCGCAAUGGACGAAAGUCUGACGGAGCAACGCCGCGUGGGCGAAGAAGGCCUUCGGGUCGUAAAGCUCUGUUGUUAGGGAAGAACAAGUACGAGAGUAACUGCUCGUACCUUGACGGUACCUAACCAGAAAGCCACGGCUAACUACGUGCCAGCCGCCGCCGUAA